rnacentral:rRNA from 1 species
GAGUUUGAUCGUGGCUCAGAACGAACGCUGGCGGCAGGCUUAACACAUGCAAGUCGAGCGCCCCUCACGGGGAGCGGCAGACGGGUGAGUAACGCGUGGGAACGUACCCUUUUCUACGGAAUAACCCAGGGAAACUUGGACUAAUACCGUAUGUGCCCUUCGGGGGAAAGAUUUAUCGGAAAAGGAUCGGCCCGCGUUGGAUUAGCUAGUUGGUGGGGUAAAGGCCUACCAAGGCGACGAUCCGUAGCUGGUCUGAGAGGAUGAUCAGCCACAUUGGGACUGAGACACGGCCCAAACUCCUACGGGAGGCAGCAGUGGGGAAUAUUGGACAAUGGGCGCAAGCCUGAUCCAGCCAUGCCGCGUGAGUGAUGAAGGCCUUAGGGUUGUAAAGCUCUUUCACCGGUGAAGAUAAUGACGGUAACCGGAGAAGAAGCCCCGGCUAACUUCGUGCCAGCCGCCGCUGUAA